GUGAUAGCUAUAUUGUUGAAUUUGCUUAUGAUCCUACAUGUAAUUAUUAUUAGAGAGGAAAAUAUGGUUGUAGAAAUUUUUAUUUUACUAAAUUACCUCUCGUCAUGUUGAGAUUGCUAUCGUCUCUUUCUUCUUUCUUGCAUAUGCUAAUUUUUGCUUGAUAUGAUAAUUUGUUUUCUUAUAAAAUGCCUAUGCAUAGGAAGUAUGUUAGACUUAGAUCUGUUUGUCACGUGUUUUAUGAUGCUCUUUUUGCGUUUUAAUUCUUAUCUUUUAUGUGAGCAUCAUUAAAAUCUUAAUGCCUAGCUAAAAAGGCUUUAAAGAAAAACGCUUGUUGGGAGACAACCCAAUAUUUAUCCUUGCUAUUUAGUAAUAAAUAAUUGAUCUAGCCUCUGGUAAGAUUUGUUUUUAUGUUUUAAUUAGUGUUUGUGCCAAGUAAAACCUAUAGGAUCUUCUUGGAUGAUAGUUAUUUGAUCUUGCUGAAAAAGCCAGAAACUUUCUGUUCACGAAAACAAUUGUUAAAAAUCACUACGAAAAUGUGAUUCUCUCUUUCUAAAGAGGGUGUUAGCUACAAUCAUGUCAUAGGCUAGAGUAAAGCUUAAGACAUCUUCUUCUUCUUGAUUCCUUAUUCCAUAGCCAAAGCUCCCAUGCACCCCUUCAAAACCUGUGUUAGGUGUACCCACGUGGCCAUUGAGGUCUCCUCCUACGAAGAGUUUUUCGCCAAUCGGUACACUCCUAACCAUGUCUUCCAGACCUUCCUAGAACUCUCUCUUGGUGUUCUCAUCAUGGCCUACUUGCGGGGCAUACGCGCUGAUAACAUUGAGAACUAAGUCCCCAACUACCAGCUUGACUAGGAUAAUCCGGUCCCCACGUCUCUUGACGUCUACCACUCAGGAUCUUGUUGAUCAAGAUGCCUACGCCAUUUCUGUUUACAGCCGUCCCCAUCUACCACAGCUUGAAGCCGGUAUCCUCCACCUCCUUCGCCUUCUGACCCCUCCAUUUGGUUUCUUGGAUGCAAAGGAUGUCAACACCUCUCCUCACCAUUGCAUCAACUAGCUCCCGAAGCUUCCUUGUCAGAGACCCUACGUUCCAGCUACCUAAGCGAAUCCUCCUAGGCUUGGCUAGCUUCCUUACCCUUCGCACUCGUCGAGUCAAAUGCGAAGACCCUUGCUCAUUUUCCACUACACCCGUGCGCCGAUGUAGCGCGCCACUAAGGAUGUGACGACCCGAUCCUCGCUCACUUGCCACCGUAUCCAGAUCAAGAUACGGCGCGCCACCAGGGGGUUCCGAUGUGGCGCGUCGCUGAGAGGGUUACGCCCCGAUGAAAAUCUUUUGGGUUUCAUCUCCAUAAGAGUGGCUGAGUUUUUAUGUUGGCUCGCCAAGCCUAUCACAACCCUUCACCUUUACCUGGGCUUGGGACUGGCUAUGUUGAGACAACAUAGGCGUAGUUCGGCGAUGACCUCCCACUAGUUUAGGUUAAUUACCCAUUUAGUUAAACCAUUAGUUUGUCAUGUGGGACCCAUGUUUAAUUGGCCAACUAACUUCAAUCUCAAUUGACUCUGACCGUGGGUCCUAUGGCCCACAUGUCAGAGAGACAUAGAGGUGACACAGAGAGUUUCCAGGGUAGCCCACAUGUCAGGGAGAGGUGUGUGAGAGAGAGAGAGAGUUUCCAGGGUGGGUCCCACAUGUCAGUGGCAUAUGCACACAAGGGCAACUAUGUCUAGACUCUAGAAAACGUCUAGUAGACGGUCAAAGGCCUUUGACCGGAUUGAAACGACACGGAGGGUAUUUCCAUACGAACACUAGACGGAAGAGUGGUAUAGUUGAGCACUGUUUUUAUUUUGGGGUAAAGAUGAGGCCGGGCGGAAAUUAGGGAAAAAAUGUAAAUGUCCCUAUAAUUUUUAAUAGUUUUAAAGGCUGUAUUUGCAAAUUGAUGAAUGACGGUACAGAAUUGGAUAACUUUCUCAUGAAAUAUAUGUCGUGUGGAGGGCAACAUCCGGAAUUACUUGAAGAUGCACAGAAUUGCUCAUCGGCACCAACAGCGACAGUGACUGAAGUUGCUCCGACCCAGAAGAUACCUGAAGUGGCUAUUAUUGCUAGCAAACCAAAGAAUGUCAAAUCUCUUCGUUGGCUUUUAGUGCUCUUACUGGCUGUGGUGCUAAUAGGAUUGCUUUUUUGGGGUACUCUUGAGCUGAAGAAAAGAAGAGUAAUUAUGCAGAAGCUGGGAGAGUUGGACCUCAAACUCAGGAAGUUCAGUUAGGUCGCAGAGUGACCGUGCAGGCACGGCAAACUGCAGAUGAUUCAAUACGUAAUCAACACGUUGACAUUCCUAUUCUUGAAGAUCUGCCGUUUGUUGGUCCGAUGACGAGAAAUCGUUUCAAUUCAAUGAAAGAGAGAGCCGCGGGAACUAAGGAAUCAACUAGUGACUGAGCUUGAACACACACGGGUCUGGUCAGCUUGAACUUGCAUUUCUUGCACGCAGUAGUCCGUCGUAGACAGUCCAGCUAGCUGCUCAGGCAAGGACACAGGGUUACAGUCCUCAUCUAUGUUGCUCUCAAGAAGUUCAUCUGACCAUAUCAUCACUAUCCCUGUCACAAUGCAGAAUUUUGAUCAAUUCAAGUACUUCCAGCAGACGCACAUGAUCGUUGUAGACUAUCCCUGUCACAAUGUAUAUAUCCUGUUUUUGAAUUUCUGGGAUGAUCGUUCUACAAUAUCUCAAUGCAAUAGAAAUCUUCAGAAAGUUUGUUGUAGUUAUCUUUCAUACUGUAUAACCGAACAGGGACAAAAGUAUUUCUUUACUUUAUGUCAUAUUCCUAGCCUGGCACGAUCGUCGUACA